ensembl:lncRNA
AUUAUGUAGUGUAUAGUAUAGUACAGAUAGUAUAGUGUAAUAUUAUGUAGUGUAUAUUAUAGUACAGAUAGUAUAGUGUAAUAUUAUGUAGUGUAUAGUAUAGUAUAGAUAGUAUAGUGUAAUAUUAUGUAGUGUAUAGUAUAGUAUAGUAUCGUGUUGGUAGUGGAGACCACUAGAUGGCUCUAUGUACUGGGGGAUGUAUGCACACACACACACACACACACACACACACACGCACACGCACACGCACACUGUGUGAUAGAGUGUAGUCUGCACCAAUCCGCGCGCGCAGGCGGCGCCGGUGACG